CCUACGGGUGGCUGCAGUGGGGAAUAUUGGACAAUGGGCGCAAGCCUGAUCCAGCAAUGCCGCGUGUGUGAAGAAGGCCUGCGGGUUGUAAAGCACUUUAAGCAGGAAAGAAGGGGUGAAAGUUAAUACCUUUCAUCAUUGACGUUACCUGCAGAAUAAGCACCGGCUAACUCCGUGCCAGCAGCCGCGGUAAUACGGAGGGUGCGAGCGUUAAUCGGAACGAGUGUGGGCGAUUUGCGCGUACCCGGGUGAAAGCCCUGGGCUUAACCUGGGAACUGCGGUGGAUACUGUCGGGCUAGAGUGUGGUAGAGGGGAGUGGAAUUUCCGGUGUAGCAGUGAAAUGCGUAGAGAUCGGAAGGAACACCAGUGGCGAAGGCGGCUCCCUGGACUAACACUGACGCUGAGGUGCGAAAGCGUGGGGAGCAAACAGGAUUAGAUACCCCGGUAGUC
rnacentral:rRNA from 1 species